GACGAACGCUGGCGGCGUGCUUAACACAUGCAAGUCGAACGGAAAGGCCCUGCUUUUGUGGUGUGCUCGAGUGGCGAUCGGGUGCGUAACACGUGAGUAACCUCCCCUUGACUUUGGUAUAACUUCACGAAACUGGGGCUAAUACCGGAUAGGAGCUCCUGCUGCAUGGUGGGGGUUGGAACGUUUCGGCGGUUGGGGAUGGACUCGCGGCUUAUCAGCUUGUUGGUGGGGUAGUGGCUUACCAAGCCUUUGACGGGUAGCCGGCCUGGGAGGGUGACCGGCCACAAUGGGACUAAGAGACGGCCCAGACUGGUACGGGAGGCAGCAGUGGGGAAUAUUGCACAGUGGGCGGGAGCGUGAGGCAGAAACGCCGCGGGCGGGAAGACGGCCUGCGGGGUAUAAACAGCAGUCGCCUGAGACGAAGCGUGAGUGACGGUAAUGGGUAAAGAAGCACCGGCUAACUACGUG
rnacentral:rRNA from 1 species